rnacentral:rRNA from 1 species
GGGAGGUAGUGACAAUAAAUAACAAUACAGGGCCCUUUCGGGUCUUGUAAUUGGAAUGAGUACAAUUUAAAUCUCUUAACGAGGAACAAUUGGAGGGCAAGUCUGGUGCCAGCAGCCGCGGUAAUUCCAGCUCCAAUAGCGUAUAUUAAAGUUGUUGCAGUUAAAAAGCUCGUAGUUGAAUUUUAGGCCUGACCGGGCGGUCUGUCUCUGGCGAGUACUGUCCUGUUGUCGGUCUAUCCUUCUGGUGAGCCGAUAUGUCCUUUGUUGGGUGUGUCGGGGAACCAGAACCAUUACCUUGAAAAAUUAGAGUGUUUAAAGCGGGCUUUUGUUGAAUAGAUUAGCAUGGAAUAAUAAAAUAGGACGUUGGUUCUAUUUUGUUGGUCUAGGACCACCGUAAUGAUUAAUAGGGAUAGUUGGG